rnacentral:ncRNA from 1 species
UAAAAUAUUUUAGGUUCUUAGUUAAGAUUAAUAGGGAAAAAGGUGAGAUACCUUUGCAGCCCCCGCUACUGUUAUGCAGACGAAACUUUUAACCACUGUGGAAACAUGGGAAGGGAAAGGAGUAGGGUGAAGCUAAGCCAGGAGACCUGCCUAUAAUAUA